rnacentral:misc_RNA from 1 species
CUAACACGCAACAAGCAAACAUGGCACGAGGGACAAGCAUAGAUGCACGCGGAUUCCAUGCUCGGGUUGCAGGAUCAUAUGACCAGACCUUGUCAGUUGCAAAAAUUCCAUCUUGGUCACCUGUCAAUGGAUCCACAGCAUCACUGCCACCACCUAAAACAAACAGCUUCCCAGCAGUAGAAACAACACUGAAGCGAGCAAAAUGACUGAUGUUGGAGGGGAGAAUCGGGAGAGUAAUCCAAAGGUCAUGCGUAGGAUCAUAGAGCUCCCAUAAGUUUUCAGGUUCAAAUGCGGAUACACAUAAAAAUUCUUCAGAUGAGUUGACCUCCUGUCUAGCUUUAAAUAG